rnacentral:tRNA from 1 species
GCCCGAAUGGCGGAACUGGUAGACGCAAGGGACUUAAAAUCCCUCGGAGUUCAUCUCUAUGCGAGUUCAAUUCUCGCUUCGGGCACCA